rnacentral:lncRNA from 1 species
UGAUUUUCAUACAAAAACAUGAGCAUAUUGAUUUGAAAUCAUGUUUAAUGGUUUUAUAUUUCGAAAUUAUGUAUGAUGAUUUUUAAGUAAUUUAUGGUUUAUUGAUCUUGAUGGUUUUUAUGACGAAAUUUAUUUUUUGGUCCAAAACGAUUGAUAAUAUAUAUAGUUUUUGACAUAAAAAGGACAAAGAAAUGCUUAUAUGAAACAAACUAAAAAGAGAAAAUCUUUCUCCUUGAAACAUUUCUCUACUUUAUCAAUUUUUUCAAAAAGGAGAUUAAUGAAUCUAUUUGUAUCACUUUUGUGAAUCUCUUAAAAAUGAUCUUGAU